AGUUCACUUCUUUCUUAGGUUUUCUAUUUUUUAUUUGGCAUAUUUUGGUGAUUUUACCAUGUACUUUUGCAUUUCUUAUAUUAUAUUAUUUUGUUUUUAUCUUUGUGCAUUUGAGUUUUCUGGGUCGUUCUUUCUACAAGUCAUUAACUAGUAACAGUGCCUGCUAAAGUUUCUUUUGGUGAAUUUGGUUAAUCAUGAAUUUUUAUAUUUUAAUAAAGGGAAUCUGAAGGGGUUCUUGCUCGGGAGACUGGUUUGGAGCCAAAGGCACAAAAGCUUUUGUUCAGGGGCAAAGAGAAAGAUGAUGAUGGGUUUUUGCACAUGGUAGGUGUGAAGGACAUGUCAAAGGUGGUCCUCAUGGAGGAUGCAGCCAGCAAGGAGAGGAAGCUUGAGGAGAUGAAGAGAGAUCAAGUGAUCUCUGGAGCUCUUAAUUCAGUUGCCCUAGUCAAAGCAGAGGUUAAUAAGCUCUCACAAAAGGCGUCUUCUUUGGAGGCAAUCAUGCAUGGUGGGACCAAGGUUGCUGAAAAGGAGUUUGUGGUGUUGACUGAAUUAUUCAUGGUGCAAUUGUUGAAUUUGGAUAGCAUUGACGCUGAAGGAGAAGCAAAAGUACAGAGACGGAGUGAGAUAUGAUGAUCUUUUGGGAAUCUAAACUCAUUAGCUGCUAUCAGAUUUAUUCUAAGUCAUUGAUCGAAGAGCAAAGCUAGUUGCGAGUGAGUUGUCAAAUGAGCAGUCCAUACAGCCACUAGCUUCCAAUGGUAAAGAAACUCAAGCUAAGAGAGAGAAAUCAAAGGAGAAGGGUCAGUUGACACUCUCCACUGCUGAACCUCCUAAUCCUACAAUAAGUGAUCCUAAGCAUGAACAAAGUGCAGACUAGCAUACAAGCAUCUGCAUCAAGUGUGACAUCUGAUAAAGAUGAAGAUGCCCCAUCUGAAAAUGUUGCUGCCGUGUCCAGUAAUUUUACAGACCAGAAAAGUAUAGAUGUUUUUGGCGAGUUGUGGAAAUUGAAGCCAUUACAAAGAGAAGUGUCAUUAUCAGUCAUCAGAUUUGACGCCACUCGUGCAGGAUUUCAAUCAAUUGUGCCUAAAUUUAGGCCUACAAGCACUUCAGCUUUUUGACACCACUCAUGCUAGGAGUAGACCAUAUAGAGGAUUUGUUAUUUAUUUAUUUAUAUUCAAGACCAUUUUCAAUUUAUUAUAAUAAAUAUUAUAUUUUUUUUAUUGUGUAGUAAUAUAAAUUUUGUUUAAUAUUA